rnacentral:rRNA from 1 species
UACGGGGGGAGCAAGCGUUGUUCGGAUUUACUGGGCGUAAAGGGCGCGUAGGCGGCCAGUGCAAGUCAGUUGUGAAAUCUCCGAGCUUAACUCGGAAAGGUCAACUGAUACUGCUCGGCUAGAGUGCGGAAGGGGCAACUGGAAUUCCUGGUGUAGCGGUGAAAUGCGCAGAUAUCGGGAGGAACACCCGUAGCGAAGGCGGCACUCUGGGCCGGUACUGACGCUGAGGAGCGAAAGCGUGGGGAGCAAACAGG